rnacentral:rRNA from 1 species
GAUGAACGCUGGCGGCGUGCCUAAUACAUGCAAGUCGAGCGAACGGACGAGAAGCUUGCUUCUCUGAUGUUAGCGGCGGACGGGUGAGUAACACGUGGAUAACCUACCUAUAAGACUGGGAUAACUUCGGGAAACCGGAGCUAAUACCGGAUGAUAUUUUGAACCGCAUGGUUCAAAAGUGAAAGACGGUCUUGCUGUCACUUAUAGAUGAAUCCGCGCUGCAUUAGCUAGUUGGUAAGGUAACGGCUUACCAAGGCAACGAUGCAUAGCCGACCUGAGAGGGUGAUCGGCCACACUGGAACUGAGACACGGUCCAGACUCCUACGGGAGGCAGCAGUAGGGAAUCUUCCGCAAAGGGCGAAAGCCUGACGGAGCAACGCCGCGUGAGUGAUGAAGGUCUUCGGAUCGUAAAACUCUGUUAUUAGGGAAGAACAUAUGUGUAAGUAACUGUGCACAUCUUGACGGUACCUAAUCAGAAAGCCACGGCUAACUACGUG